rnacentral:rRNA from 1 species
CCUACGGGAGGCAGCAGUGGGGAAUCUUGCGCAAUGGGCGAAAGCCUGACGCAGCAACGCCGCGUGCGGGAAGAAGGUCUUAGGGUUGUAAACCGCUUUCAGUAGGGAAGAAGCGCAAGUGACGGUACCUGCAGAAGAAGCACCGGCUAACUACGUGCCAGCAGCCGCGGUAAU